GAAGAACGCUUGGAAUAAAAGAUCCCUUAUCGAUAAAAUUGGAAGUAGAAUACGAAGCAACAACAAUUGGAAUCGAGCUUUCUGAAUAAACGUACACUAGGAAGCUGUCUAAAGCAUCGUUGAGUAGAUUCUUGUAAGAAAUUCAUAAGAACGAUCGAUGGCCAAGAAGUACGGUAGGCGUCGUAUUUUUGAAACGGUGCAGUGACAGAUAACGACGACGGGAGCGAACGGUACCGAGCAAGAAGAAGGCGUUGAAGAUGUUGGGCGAGAGAGGAAUGGACCAAGUAAAUUACCGGUAAAUUAACAGCGUCAAGGAGGAUUGGCGUUACGAUGAAAAAGUGGUUGAAGUGGUUGGUAACUGGGCAGAUUCUUUGGCUGGUAAGUAAGAGCGAUAAAGAGGACUUGGAGGAGGGGUGAUCGCGAAUGACGCGAGUGAGAGAGAGAGAGCG